GUCCACCUCCUCCAAGACCUAGCCGCCUCCUCGACUACCCUCCUCCGCCGCCGCCACCACCGCCGCCCACCCUUCGCGGCUGCCGAGCGCCCUCCACCACAUCCCUGUGCCAGAUCCAUCCCAGACCAUGCCGCCGACCACCGUCCACCACACCCCAGCGCCAACUCCCUCACCGACCACGACGCCGAGCACCCUCCGCUGCCCUGACCACGAUUCGCCACACACCAGCAACCCCAAGCAGCCAAGCCUCCUCCAUGUGUUCUCCCCUGGAAUCACCCCCACCAGCUCUGCCGCUUCCAAAAGCUCCUCCCUCGAGCAGCGCCGCCGCUUCCAGGAGCUCCUGCCCGACCAACGUUGAUGUUCCAGAAGCUCCUUACCCAAGCAGCGCCUCCUUCUCUAGGAGCCUCAGCGCUACCUCGUCGUCCUCUCCCCCAAGCAGAUGCCUGUCCUGCAUUCUUUCCCCUGAGUAGGGCCAUUUACGUCCUCUGAUUCGUUGCCCGAGCAGAUCUACAACAUCCUCUACUUCUUAACUGAUGGUGACAUUUCUUUGCUAUUCCUACAAUAUAGAUAAAUGAUAUUCUACUAUUAGUUUUCCAUUUCCUGAAACGACACCUUUCAGUUCACUAUUCUGCUGUGCUAGAUUGCAUUCCUUGUCGGUAUUGUAUUUCUUGUUGCUUGUAGCAGAUACGACUGGUAUGCAUUUUGUUAUUAUUAUUUUCUUUAAUAGAAGGCAAGCUGGGGACUGGUCCAUUUGCAAAAGCAGCAAUGCAACCACAAGCAAGCUGAGGAGGUGCCUCAAAGAUACACAAGUUGAUCUACAGGCUGCCCUGAAGAUUUGGGAGACCUACGACUAAGUUGGUGGAGUGAAAUUGUAAUAAGCCUUGUUUGUUGAACCUGGAGAUAUUGGCACGUUUUACGCUCAUUUUGUUUUUUGUUUUGGCACAUAAGUCACAAGUUUUACUCUCAUUUUGAUUGUGUUGCACAUCCAGAAACAUAUGUUCUUUUCCUUUUUGUUGCACGUCCUUGUAUAUUGUUGUCUCAUGAAUGUAUCAAAGGAAAAUACAUAUUUUGUCUAUUAUGUUUAUCGAAUGAAGUUUAAGAUUUUGGAUGAGGCCUA